rnacentral:tRNA from 2 species
UGUAAAAUAAGCUAAAUAUCAAGCUGUUGGGUUCAUACCCCAAAAAUGAGACAACUCUUUUACAA